GACAGAGGGGGGCAAGCGUUGCUCGGAAUUACUGGGCGUAAAGGGCGCGUAGGCGGGAUGGCAAGUCGGUCGUGAAAUCCCUCGGCUCAACCGAGGAACGUCGAUCGAUACUGCUGUUCUUGAGGAUUGCAGAGGAGACUGGAAUUCCCGGUGUAGCGGUGAAAUGCGUAGAUAUCUGGAGGAACACCGGUGGCGAAGGCGGCAUCCUGGACCGGCAUUGACGCUGAGGAGCGAAAGCCAGGGGAGCAAACGGG
rnacentral:rRNA from 1 species